GAGUUUGAUCAUGGCUCAGGAUGAACGCUAGCGGCAGGCUUAACACAUGCAAGUCGAGGGGUAGAGUAGCAAUACUUGAGACCGGCGCACGGGUGCGUAACGCGUAUGCAACCUACCUUUUACAGAGGGAUAGCCCAGAGAAAUUUGGAUUAAUACCUCGUAGUAUAUGUCUUUCGCAUGUUAGACAUAUUAAAGUUCCAACGGUAAAAGAUGGGCAUGCGUCCUAUUAGCUAGAUGGUAAGGUAACGGCUUACCAUGGCAACGAUAGGUAGGGGUCCUGAGAGGGAGAUCCCCCACACUGGUACUGAGACACGGACCAGACUCCUACGGGAGGCAGCAGUGAGGAAUAUUGGACAAUGGGCGCAAGCCUGAUCCAGCCAUGCCGCGUGCAGGAAGACGGUCCUAUGGAUUGUAAACUGCUUUUGUACGGGAAGAAACACUCCCUCGUGAGGGAGCUUGACGGUACCGUAAGAAUAAGGAUCGGCUAACUCCGU
rnacentral:rRNA from 1 species